AUUGAACGCUGGCGGCAUGCCUUACACAUGCAAGUCGAACGGUAACGCGAGGCAACCUGGCGACGAGUGGCGAACGGGUGAGUAAUGCAUCGGAACGUGCCCAGUAGUGGGGGAUAGCCCGGCGAAAGCCGGAUUAAUACCGCAUACGACCUACGGGUGAAAGGGGGGGAUCGCAAGACCUCUCGCUAUUGGAGCGGCCGAUGUCAGAUUAGGUAGUUGGUGGGGUAAAGGCCUACCAAGCCGACGAUCUGUAGCUGGUCUGAGAGGACGACCAGCCACACUGGGACUGAGACACGGCCCAGACUCCUACGGGAGGCAGCAGUGGGGAAUUUUGGACAAUGGGCGCAAGCCUGAUCCAGCCAUGCCGCGUGCGGGAAGAAGGCCUUCGGGUUGUAAACCGCUUUUGUCAGGGAAGAAACGCGCUGAGCUAAUACCUCGGCGUAAUGACGGUACCUGAAGAAUAAGCACCGGCUAACUACGUGCCAGCCGCCGCCGUAAUAC
rnacentral:rRNA from 1 species